CAUAAAUAAUUAUUUGAAAAAAAAAGUGAGACAUGGUAGUUGCAUGACCUAAAAGGGGUGUAACUGCAGUAAUCCAUGAACACUGGCUCAGCUACUUGAAUGGCAAAGUAAUUGCCUACUACCACUUUAAGUAGAGCUCAAAAGGGCUGAGAAUGCAGAUCAGACUAGCGAUGAACACUGUUUAUAAACAGAAGGAUCAUGCCAGGAAGAGGCAUAGGCUGGCAAGAAAAGAAUGGGAAUGGUGCAUACUCUGUGAAAUCAAAAUUAGAGAGGCACGAUUGCAGUGGUAUAAGAACAAAUGUACAGCCAAAUGUCAGUGUAGAGAACAUAUAUGAAAAUAUCUUUCCUGAUAUGCACAGAAGCUGUAGGGUGAAGUAGACAGAGCUCUGCAGUUUCCUUUGGGGGAAGCCAUAAGACUCACAAUAAGAUCUAUACAGAAAUGAACAAACGGAUGAAGAGCAGAGCUGAUCUGUGGGAAAGAGAAAAUGGGAAAAUUUAGAGAUCAAAUCUGGGCACAGAAUAUAGGGGCAUUCUCAGUGUGUUUCUUGUUAUUUUGAGAUGAGAUUGAGACCAUCAGCUAGAACUCUAUCCUGACACCCAACCACCAAAAGCUCUUUAGUCAGCUUAGCUGCUGUGUUUCACCCACUGAUUCCUUUAACUCCACAUUUCCACCCUUGCUGCCAGAGUGUUCUAACUAGCUGGAUCUCUAAAGAUUCAUUUUAUACAUCCAGAAUAGGCAAGCAACUCGAACAUGUUGGCAGUAAGCAAACACACACACACACACACACACACACACACACACACACACAUGCCCCCAAUAUAAUCCCAUUAGAAAGUAGGCAAAGGACAUUUCCCAAAAAAAAGACAUGGGAAUGGUCAACCAACAGUUGUAUGAAGAAAAUGCUCAACAUCACAAGUGGUCAGAAAAAUACAAAUCAAAACCACAAUGAGAUAUCAUCUUACCCCAGUUAGAAGAGACAUUAUUUAACAGACAAAAGAAAACACCCCAAAACCUAACAAAUCCAGAUGAUGAGGCAGAAAAAAGGUGGGUCUUAGACACCGUUGGCAGAAAAGUAAAUAAGUACACUCACCAUAAAAAAAACAGCAUAGAAAUUUCUCAAGAAAAGCAGGCUGGGCAUGGUGGCUCACCCCUGUAAUCCCAACACUUUGGGAGGCCAAGAUAGGUGGAUCACCUGAGGUCAGGAAUUUGAGACCAGCCUGGCCAACAUGGUGAAACUGCGUCUCUACUAGAAAGACAAAAAAAUUAGCCAGGUGUGGUGGUGCAUGCCUGUAAGCUCAGCUACUUGGGAGGCUGAGGCAGGAGGAUCGCUUGAACCUGGGAGGCAGAAGUUGCAGUGAGCCAGGAUCAUGCCAUUGCACUCCAGUCUGGGCUGGAGCAAGACUCCGUCAAAAAAAAGAAAGAAAGAGAGA
rnacentral:lncRNA from 10 species